rnacentral:rRNA from 1 species
CCUACGGGUGGCAGCAGUCGAGAAUCAUUCACAAUGGGGGAAACCCUGAUGGUGCGACGCCGCGUGGGGGAAUGAAGGUCUUCGGAUUGUAAACCCCUGUCAUGUGGGAGCAAAUUAAAAAGAUAGUACCACAAGAGGAAGAGACGGCUAACUCUGUGCCAGCAGCCGCGGUAAUACAGAGGUCUCAAGCGUUGUUCGGAAUCACUGGGCGUAAGGCGUGCGUAGGCUGUUUCGUAAGUCGUGUGUGAAAGGCGCGGGCUCAACCCGCGGACGGCACAUGAUACUGCGAGACUAGAGUAAUGGAGGGGGAACCGGAAUUCUCGGUGUAGCAGUGAAAUGCGUAGAUAUCGAGAGGAACACUCGUGGCGAAGGCGGGUUCCUGGACAUUAACUGACGCUGAGGCACGAAGGCCAGGGGAGCGAAAGGGAUUAGAGACCCUAGUAGUC